UACGUAGGGGGCGAGCGUUGUCCGGAAUUAUUGGGCGUAAAGAGCGUGUAGGCGGCCUGACAGGUCUGCUGUGAAAACUCGAGGCUCAACCUCGAGAUGUCGGCGGAAACCGUCUGGCUAGAGUCCGGAAGAGGAGAGUGGAAUUCCUGGUGUAGCGGUGAAAUGCGCAGAUAUCAGGAAGAACACCUAUGGCGAAGGCAGCUCUCUGGGACGGUACUGACGCUGAGACGCGAAAGCGUGGGGAGCGAACAGG
rnacentral:rRNA from 1 species